rnacentral:rRNA from 1 species
AUUGCCCCAGUAACGGCGAGUGAAGCGGCAACAGCUCAAAUUUGAAAUCUGGCCCUCGGGUCCGAGUUGUAAUUUGUAGAGGAUGCUUUUGGUGAGGUGCCUUCCGAGUUCCCUGGAACGGGACGCCAUAGAGGGUGAGAGCCCCGUCUGGUUGGACACCGAGCCUCUGUAAAGCUCCUUCGACGAGUCGAGUAGUUUGGGAAUGCUGCUCUAAAUGGGAGGUAUAUGUCUUCUAAAGCUAAAUACCGGCCAGAGACCGAUAGCGCACAAGUAGAGUGAUCGAAAGAUGAAAAGCACUUUGAAAAGAGGGUUAAAUAGUACGUGAAAUUGUUGAAAGGGAAGCGCUUGUGACCAGACUUGAGCCCGGUUAAUCAUCCAGCCUUCUGGCUGGUGCACUUGGCCGGCUCAGGCCAGCAUCAGUUCGGCGCGGGGGAUAAAGGCUUCGGGGAAUGUGGCUCCUCCGGGAGUGUUAUAGCCCGUUGUGUAAUACCCUGUACUGGACUGAGGUUCGCGCAUCUGCAAGGAUGCUGGCGUAAUGGUCAUCAGCGACCCGUCUUGAAACACGGACCAAGGAGUCGUCCUCGUAUGCGAGUGUUCGGGUGUCAAACCCCUACGCGUAAUGAAAGUGAACGCAGGUGAGAGCUUCGGCGCAUCAUCGACCGAUCCUGAUGUUCUCGGACGGAUUUGAGUAAGAGCAUACGGGGCCGGACCCGAAAGAAGGUGAACUAUGCCUGUAUAGGGUGAAGCCAGAGGAAACUCUGGUGGAGGCUCGCAGCGGUUCUGACGUGCAAAUCGAUCGUCAAAUAUGGGCAUGGGGGCGAAAGACUAAUCGAACCUUCUAGUAGCUGGUUUCCGCGAGU